rnacentral:lncRNA from 1 species
GAAAACAGCCUGAGAGGGGGGCCCAGGCUCUCUCAGAAGACGGCCUGAGUCAGGUCCACGCUCCCCCGGGAGACGGCCUGAGCAUGGGCGAGGCUCCUCCGGAAGACCUGAGCAACGGCCCAUGCCCUCCCAGGCGACGGCCUGAGCGGGGUCCAGGCUCCCCCGGAAGACACGGUCCACGCUCUCUGAGAAGAUGGCGUGUGGGUCGGCGCGGAGGAGGAGUGGAGAGAAUGAGAACAAAGCUUCCCAGUGGAAGAGAGAGCAGCUGUCUUCACGGUCAGGCCUGGGAGGGCCCAGCCUCGUGCCUAUGAUGCUUCUUGAGGAAGCUCUCUAUGAGGGGAGACAAAGCAAGGAGGAAGACAGUAAUUCCGGAGAUGGUGUCCCGCUGGAAGAGCAGGACGCCGGGUCUGCAGAGCACGUGCCUCGAUGGGCCUGGCCUG